CUUUACCAUGUGUGAUACUCAGAAUCUAACGAUUUUGGGCGGAAUCACUAUCAGGAGAUUUCGGAGGCAUAAUUUCUUUACUCGGUGGCAGUUGGUACUCAAUAGGUCCGGCGCCCCAUCAUAUCAAAUAUAAAGUAGAAAUCGGCAUAUGACAAUGUAUGAAUACGUUUGGGCUAUUAGUGGACAAAUAACGAAAAUUAUGAUUUCUCAUGCAUUGAUU
rnacentral:lncRNA from 1 species